ensembl:lincRNA
CAUAUGGUAACCAUAUGAGAAAUGCACGACAGCCGCACCAAACACCGGCUAUUAAUAGAGACCGCGAGUUUGCUCUCUGUGUCUUUUUCCUGCCACCGAGUAAGGGAUGAUCUUCACACACAUACCCCACUCGGCCCCCGCCUCGGCGCACCGUUUCUCCAGGAAGAAGCCACUGGAGACUCAAGGGAGUGCAGCACGUGGACUUGGCCUCUAGCCCAAGGCCAUGCCGUCUGAAGGCAUUCCAUCGGGGCACCGACAGAGAAUGAGGAGAGGCCCAGAGAGAAGAAACGUAAAAGAUGAAACAGCAAAAGAAAACAAACUGCUGAGGUCCUGGCUCCAAGCUCCCAGGAUGAAAUGUCCAGGCCUGGCGAGCUCCUGGGGGGUGGGAGCGGAGCGUGGCUCUUGUCGUUUCUUCGUGACUACGCCUCGAAGGCCACACAUGAGCGGGAGAACCGUGGAGCAGAUGGCACAUGGGGUCACGACUGCUAGGUGUGGCGGCCUCCGCACGUGGGCUCAGCUCUUAAUUCUGAGGGAAGCGAUUGUGAGCGCUAGGGCCGGUCCACUGCACUCUAAUGCCUCAGUUUAAUCAUUAGUGAAAUAGAGAUUGCAAUACCCGAGGAAGUGACUGUGAGAGUUAAUGUUAGGAAUGUGUUUGGCAGGAAGUAAGAGAAAACCAGACAACUAUGGCUCGAAGAAUUAAGAAUUCAUUGUUGUCACAAAAGAAGUCUGGAAGUAGAUAUUCCAAGGCUCAGACACCUGCUCAAUUCUCAUCAGUUCUAAGAUCCACAUUGUUUGCCCCACGUUGUAACAUUUUGGAAAUCAGCAUGCAUCUUACAAAUAAUGCCAAAUUGUAGUUUAAUUAGCAGCAUUUUAUCUUUUUUAAUAGUACUUAAAAAACAUUGCCUCUUACAAUAUUGACUGUGUUUCCAAAGGCAGACAAUACAUUAUCAGAGGCCAGACUCUUUUAUCUCCACCAUUCUUAGCCUGCUAGAUUUCAUCCUCAUCCUUUGCCUCGUGGUUGCAAGAUGGCUGAUGCAACUUCAGACAUCACAUCCAGGCAAGAGGAAGGAAGACCGGAGAAGAAACCAAGGCUUUUCUCCUCUUGAAACUUUGUCAUUACAUUUAGGAAGAAAUGCCCUCCCCGCAAAAUUUCCAUUUAUAUACUAUUGGCCAGAAUUAUGUCACAUGGCCACUGUAGCUGAAAAGGAUGUUGAGAAGUCAAGUAUUCAGAUUGCCAGGCUCUAUAAAGGAGGGCAAGGGAGAAGGUGGCUGGGUGCUAAGCGAGCCAAGUUUACUGUGUCUGCCACAGUAUGUAAAAUAGCUAGCGCCGUCUCUGGCAAGUAGUAGAGGCUCACUGGAGAAUCGUGUUUUACUUCCACACAAAAACUAAAAUGUGAGUGAGUGGUUUGUGUGGGAGAUGAGGUGAGCCAGUUCACCAAACAACUUCCUUUCUUGGAACACAUCACUUGAUGCUCCCUAGGAAUGCAAAUGAGAUAUACCUAGGAAAGAAUGAUCAACACUCUUUUCUCUCCAGUUCUGCAAAGCCGUCUCCAGAGGCUUACACACCAGGAGAUUUUGGUGCAAAAUAAAUCAACUAGCUCUUUUGCUCUUCUCAGAAACGACCUUUGUGUUUUUCCUCCACCAAGCAAAGCCCAUCUCCCCCUCUCAGGGAUCACAGCCUUGCAGCCCCUGCUGGGAUCAGAGGGAAGGCUCUAGAGGCUGGGGUCUGUGGCCCGGGCCCUGGGCCAUUCCUGGGGACACAGUCAAGCUUUCCUAGAUAAAAUAGGAAGGAAGCUGACAACUCUUUGCUUCCAUAUAUAUUAACUUACAGAAUCCUCAAUGCAAACCUGCCAGGAAGGAACAAGCAUUCCUAUUUUCCAAAACUACAGCUCAGAGAAAUUAGGAAAAGGGUCAAGGUCAUUCUGCUGGUAAACAAAGAGCUGAGAUGCAAACCCAGGUCUGUCUGGGGCCGGCACCCUUCCCCGCUCAACUCACUGCCUCCAGAAGCAGUGCUGUGUUUUCUCUCUUUUUCUUUUUUCCUUUAGUUUGUUUCCUUUUAGCUUUUUAAAAUUUUAUUGUAUUGUUUUGUUUUUAAUGCUAGUUUUUAAAAUUCUCAGUUUUAGACUGAAAGAGUCCAGCAUCCCUGCCACAGCAGGAGUCCGUGCACGGGUUAUCAUCGGAACACUGGAACGUGGCACUGCUGCAGUGGCAGCUACCCCCAAACCUCUCCUCCUCAGGGAGCUGGCCUCGUACAGUGUGGGUGAUGGGCAGCAUGCUGCAGCAC